UAGUCCACGCCGUAAACGAUGUCUACUAGCCGUUGGGGAACUUGAUUCCUUAGUGGCGCAGCUAACGUGAUAAGUAGACCGCCUGGGGAGUACGGUCGCAAGAUUAAAACUCAAAUGAAUUGACGGGGGCCCGCACAAGCGGUGGAGCAUGUGGUUUAAUUCGAUGCAACGCGAAGAACCUUACCUGGCCUUGACAUCCUGCGAACUUUCUAGAGAUAGAUUGGUGCCUUCGGGAACGCAGAGACAGGUGCUGCAUGGCUGUCGUCAGCUCGUGUUGUGAAAUGUUGGGUUAAGUCCCGUAACGAGCGCAACCCUUGUCCCUAUUUGCCAGCACUUCGGGUGGGAACUCUAGGGAGACUGCCGGUGACAAACCGGAGGAAGGUGGGGACGACGUCAAGUCAUCAUGGCCCUUACGGCCAGGGCUACACACGUGCUACAAUGGUGAGAACAGAGGGUUGCGAAGCCGCGAGGUGGAGCUAAUCCCAGAAAACUCAUCGUAGUCCGGAUUGGAGU
rnacentral:rRNA from 1 species